AUCCAGCGGACCACUCCCAAAUAGGACGAAACGCGCGUCCUGGAU
rfam:Schistosoma haematobium scaffold352_27, whole genome shotgun sequence.